UAGGCUACGCGUGGUUUGCGAACAAAUCACAUGUGAUUUAUUGUACACCUUUGCAUUGCUGCAAGUUAUUGCCUCUAAGUUGCUGUAAAUAUGUCAACGCACACGAUGACUCGAGGCACAAAAUCUGCCAUUUUGCGGAGUGAAGACAUCACAGUGGACAAUUUGGCAAAGAUUUUCAAGAUCACGCAAUCAAGUCUUUACUUGACACAUCAGAAUGGAGUGUCUGUAUUCCCACUAGAAGCUGGAUUUUUCAGCUCUCUUUACCUGGAUGACGGGGCCACCUUCCAGGUGAUGGGUGAUGAUGUACCGGGGCCAUUACCAAGCACCAACUCAACCCCUGUCUAUUCAACCCCUGGACCAAAUAGCGUUAUACCUCGUUCUCAUUUUCUCGAACUGCAUUAGCUGCACGUUCAUCGUCUCCUGCUACGAACCCCAGAAUCUACCAGAGGACAAUCUUUAUUGGGCAACUGGAGGGGGAGAGGAUUGUUCAGGAAAAAGCUCUGGUAAUUCAAUUUGAAGAAUCAGAGGCCUGUGUGAAAAUAAUAACCAACAAAGUCAAAGAGGCCCUGGACACACAAGAAGAUGUCUUCCUAACUGACAGUCAGGGGAAUCUGCUUCUUGACACCUCUGGCACUAAAGGUUGGAACGUUUGAACAUUUCUCUUACUCCAACUCUUAGUAUGAAAACAAGCAUGCCAUCAUGUGAAUACAAAUAUUGGUAUUGGGGGUUGAUAGGAAAUUGAACAUUUUAGGUUUUAGAAACCCAUGGGAGGCUAUGGAAUACAGCUGUAACUUGUCAAAUAUAUAAUGGUUGUGUUGCGUUAAAGUAAAUUAACCAAACUAU